GGAGGAUGGAGGAGGUGUGGAGAUGGCUUCCUUUGGGAUGUCCUGAAGAUGGUAACCAGAGUACCAAGAAGUGUUUUCAGAUUCCCCAAUAUAAUAAGAGAAAAGGAACUAACCCCUUAAAUGAAGAACCUUCCAUUAUCUCUACCCAAGUCCGUAUUUUAAUUUCAUUUCCUUUUGCCAGCUCCUCCCCUUUGAUGGUGUACUGCAGUGAAAACUAUUGAGAAAAUCGGAUACUUAAAAGGACUCAUGAAAGGCACCAUUCAUUUUAAAGAACAGCCCUUAUUCUAAGGGGGCAAUCUCACAGUCAAGAGCUGAAGCUAAGUCCAUAAGGUGAAAAUGCAGCCCAUCCGCGUUCUGUCUGAAGUUCAAGUAUCGUGUUAUACAGUAAAAGAUUUCGGACCCAUGUGGAGACUCUAAUGGAAUUUCAGAUUCCAAUUCUAAUUUCUGGGGAUUCCAGUUUACAGCCGAGUGAUGAAAGGCUUGGGUUUCCAGAGGCACUUUCUGGCAUGAUAUUUAAGGCCAGCAGGUGGUGUGGUAGUGAAGAUGCUGGACUCCCACAUGGCAAACCAAGAU